UCCAGUUGAUCCUGCUGGAGACCACUGCUAUUGGGGUUUGAUUAAGACAUGCACGUCUAGGAGUGCGACAGCACGACUGGCAUACAGCUCAGUAACACGUGGACAAUCUACCGUUGGGAAGAGGACAACCUCGGGAAACUGAGGCUAAUACUCUAUAGUAGGCGGAACCUGGAAUGGCCGCCUACGAAAGCGCAAUCCUUUUGUCGGAUUGUCAGCACCCUACGAUGAGUCUGCGGCGGAUUAGGUUGUUGGCGGGGUAACUGCCCACCAAGCCCACAAUCCGUACCGGCCUUGAGAGAGGGAGCCGGGAGAUGGAUACUGAGACAAUGAUCCAGGUCCUACGGGACGCAGCAGUUGCGAAAUCUCCGCAAUGCGCGCAAGCGUGACGGGGGAACCCCAAGUGCCAUUGUACAACAGUGGCUUUUGUCGAGUGUAAAUAGCUCGUCGAAUAAGGGCUGGGUAAGACCGGUGCCAGCCUCCGCGGUAACACCGGCAGCUCAAGUGGUGGUCGACUUUAUCGGGCUUAAAGCGUCCGUAGUCGGUUGCGCAAGUCCUCUGUUAAAACCUGCGGCUUAACCGUAGGAGUGCAGAGGAUACUACGUGGCUCGAGGCCGGGAGAGGCAAGGGGUAUUUCCGGGGUAGCGGUGAAAUGCUAUAAUCCUGGGAGGACCACCGACAGCGAAAGCACCUUGCUAGAACGGGCCUGACGAUGAGGGACGAAAGCGUGGGGAGCGAACGGGAUUAGAUACCCCGGUAGUCCACGCCGUAAACGAUGCUGACUGAGUGUUACGUGACCCUCGUGGUCACGUAGUGCUGGAGGGCAACCGUUAAGUCAGCCGCCUGGGGAGUACGGUCGCAAGGCUGAAACUUAAAGGAAUUGGCGGGGGAGCACCACAAGGGGUGGAUGCUGCGGUUUAAUUGGAUACAACGCCGGGCAACUCACCAGGGGCGACGGCAGAAUGAAGGCCAGACUGAAGGUCUUGCCGGACGAGCCGAGAGGUAGUGCAUGGCCGUCGUCAGCUCGUACUGUGAAGCGUGCGGUUAAGUCCGUUAACGAGCGAGACCCGUGCCCCUAUUUGCUACCCUCAUCUCCGGAUGGGGGGCACUAUAGGGGGACCGCUGGUGAUGAACCAGAGGAAGGCGCGGGCUACGGUAGGUCUGUAUGCUCCGAAUCUCCUGGGCUACACGCGGCAUACAAUGGCGUAGACAAUGGGUUGCAACACCGAAAGGCGCGAGCUAAUCCCCAAACUACGUCUUAGUCCGGAUCGAGGGUUGAAACCCACCCUCGUGAAGCUGAAAUCCCUAGUAAUCGCUGGUAACCAUCCAGCGGUGAAUAUGUCCCUGCUCCUUGCACACACCGCCCGUCAAACCAACUGAGUGAGCUUGGGAUGAGGCCUCUUCUUUAGGGGGGGUCGAAUCUCGGGUUCGUAAGGGGGGUUAAGUCGUAACAAGGUA
rnacentral:rRNA from 1 species